rnacentral:rRNA from 1 species
UGAAGGCGAUUUAGUUUAAGAGAUUAAUUGAUUGACGAUAAUCACAGAAGAAGCACCGGCUAACUCCGUGCCAGCAGCCGCGGUAAUACGGAGGGUGCGAGCGUUAAUCGGAAUGACUGGGCGUAAAGGGCACGCAGGUGGUGACUUAAGUGAGGUGUGAAAUCCCCGGGCUUAACCUGGGAACAGCAUUUCAGACUGGGUGACUAGAGUACUUUAGGGAGGGGUAGAAUUCCACGUGUAGCGGUGAAAUGCGUAGAGAUGUGGAGGAAUACCGAAGGCGAAGGCAGCCCCUUGGGAAGAUACUGACGCUCGAGUGCGAAAGCGUGGGGAGCAAACAGGAUUAGAUACCCUGGUAGUCCACGCUGUAAACGAUGUCGAUUUGGGGAUUGGGUGAACACUUGGUGCCCGA